rnacentral:rRNA from 1 species
GGGGCGGUCUCCUCCCAAAGAGUAACGGAGGAGCACGAAGGUGGGCUAAUCACGGUUGGACAUCGUGAGGUUAGUGCAAUGGCAUAAGCCCGCUUAACUGCGAGAAUGACGGUUCGAGCAGGUGCGAAAGCAGGUCAUAGUGAUCCGGUGGUUCUGUAUGGAAGGGCCAUCGCUCAACGGAUAAAAGGUACUCCGGGGAUAACAGGCUGAUACCGCCCAAGAGUUCAUAUCGACGGCGGUGUUUGGCACCUCGAUGUCGGCUCAUCACAUCCUGGGGCUGAAGUCGGUCCCAAGGGUAUGGCUGUUCGCCAUUUAAAGUGGUACGCGAGCUGGGUUUAGAACGUCGUGAGACAGUUCGGUCCCUAUCUGCCGUGGGCGUUGGAAGAUUGAAGGGGGCUGCUCCUAGUACGAGAGGACCGGAGUGGACGAACCUCUGGUGUUCGGGUUGUGUCGCCAGACGCAUUGCCCGGUAGCUAAGUUCGGAAUUGAUAAGCGCUGAAAGCAUCUAAGCGCGAAGCGAGCCCUGAGAUGAGUCUUCCCUGACAGUUUAACUGUCCUAAAGGGUUGUUCGAGACUAGAACGUUGAUAGGCAGGGUGUGUAAGCGUUGUGAGGCGUUGAGCUAACCUGUACUAAUUGCCCGUGAGGCUUAACCAUACAACACCCAAGGGGUUU